ensembl:lncRNA
CCCUAACUACAUGUGGCUAAUGGCUACCUUAUUGGACAAGCAACAGUGGACAAAAGAUUGGACAAAAACCUUUGUAUUUUUGUGUACUUUCCAUGUAAGUAAUUAAAUUCAAGUAGGACAACAGUAUUCACUGUAUUGGCUCCAUCACUGGCAAAGGACAUAAAUUCAGGUAAGAUAGAAUGAUUUGCUAAGUGGCAUAUAAUUUAGCUUGCUAUUUUUAUAAGCUAUUCUUAGAUUUUUAAUUAUCAGGUAAAAUCCAUAACUCAAAAACCAUGACAGGUUUUUUUUUUUUUUUUUUUUUUUUUUUUGUCUUUUUAAGGCUGUAUCUGCGGCAUAUGCAGGUUUCCAGGCUAGGCGUCGAAUCAGAGCUGUAGCUGCCAGCCUACGCCACAGCCACAGCAAUGUGGGAUCUGAGCCGUGUCUGCAACCUACACCACAGCUCACAGCAAUGCCGGAUCCUUAACCCACUGAGUGAGGCUAGGGAUUGAACCUGUGUCCUCAUGGAUGCUAGUCAGAUUCGUUUCUGCAGAGCCACGAUGGGAACUCCGAGGUUUUUUUUAAAUGCAUGUGAGCUAUUGGCAGUCCUUUGGGACCCUCAUCAGUUCCCCUGACCUUCCUUUUAUUCAUCUAUUCCUGCUUCACUAAGUGCUCCCUAAAGUCUAAAUGAUGGGAUUUUCUCUUUUCCCUCUUCUCCCCUGAAUGCCUUAUCUUCUCCAUCACUGACCUGACACUGUGUUCUCCAGAAAUGUAAAGUAUUUACAUUACUGUUUAUCUUAACAGUAUUGUUAGUGGAAAUGGGAUUCCGUUUAUUAAUAAGGCUGACCUUGUAUCGUCUGAGACAUUUCAGAGUGUAGGAGUACGAAGUUAUUUAGUUAAAAAUAUAAAGCCAGAUUUUUUUAGCCUACAUUCCUAACACCCAGAGGAAACAAUGUGAUUGAUACAGAUGAGCAAACAACUCUUAAAUUAAAUAAUUGAUUAUUUGCCAAAAAAUGACAAGUUGGCGGGCAAAGCCAUAUUUGGUAGGUAGGUGGGAAAGCAAGAAGGGGUUGACUGCCAAGGCUUGGACUCAUGGGGAGAGAACAGUGGGAUGGGAACAUAUGGAGCCUGUUUUAAAACAAAAUUUUAGACAGGAAUGCAAGUGUGAUAAACACGGUGGUCAGGAGAGGAAUCACUGGUAUGUACACAGCAGAGUAGUCUACAGAGCCUGUGAGAUGCUUCAGACAAAUUUAAAGCCUCAUCUAGAGGUCCCCAGUUCAUUGUUCUUUAUCUUGUACCACAUCUUUGCUGUAAAAAAUUUGAAAGUGGACAUGGGUGAGAUAAGCAAUAAGCCAGAGGAGUUUUAAAGCACUAGUUGAAUAAAAUCAGUUUCUGCUCUGGCGUUUUAAGAUCUAAAAGAAAAAUCCAUGUUUUCUGAUGCCAAGAAAAUUUAAGAAAAGCAAAGUAUGACUUCCUGAAUGGCUCACAGCGUUAACUACUCGGCAUUGAUUCUGCAGUGGCUGUGGCUCGACACCUGGCUCAGGAACCUGCCUGUGCAGCAGGUGCGGCCACUUAGAAAAGUAAACAUUAUUUACUUUUACAUUUAAGCAUGAUAAACAUUUAUUAACAAAAUCCUGACAUUUAUUUUUAUUUUUGUCUUUUUCUUUUCUUUUUUUUUUGCCUUUUCUAUGGCAGGUUUCUCCUCCCCAUUGAAGUUCCCGGCUAAGG